rnacentral:lncRNA from 1 species
CGGGGGGAGGGGCUGAUGCUUCAGGAGAGGAAGAAGGCAGAAGAGAAAGUCCGCCUGCGCCUUCUUUCUCAGGAGAUUCCUGUUCAUUAUCUUUGGGGCAACCCUGAGGCCCUCCCUUGGGGUGCCUGGACAGGAAAGGCCCCAGACGCCCCCACAGCGUGAGACAAUCAUAGAGGUGAUGGGGAAAAAAAAUCCAGCGGGAGGUAAAUCCCCCCACGCCCCUCGGUGCGCUGCGAGUCAUGCAUCGCACGCUCCCAGAGCUCAGCGUCCACCACAUCCACACCUUCCAUCCAAGGGGAUGAUUUAAGAACAGUCUCCCAGAAGACUUUGUGCUCAUUACUGGAUUGUCUCCUGACAGCCAAGAAUACUCCCCCAGACUUGCCUCCGGAACUCUGUGAAAUCUAUUUUGCAUCUGCAAGAGUCUGGGCCUCCCAAGAUCAGGUAAGUGACUGUAUUCAAAGACAAUUAAAAUUUGGAGGGUACAAUCUCAGCAGGAAACCCUUUCUCUUGGCCUUCAAAUCUCCCACAUGCUUCACUUUUUAUAUCAAAAGCCUUAUAAGGGGUAGAAUUGCUUAAUUCAGGG